ensembl:lncRNA
UAGAAUUUGUAUUCCUUGUUUUCAUUAGACCUUGACGAGUGUAAGACAAAUGAGGCUCCGUGUUCAAAAACAGCCCUGUGUGUCAACACCUACGGGGGCUACAGGUGUGUGUGCAAUGGCACUGAUCUAAAGGAAGAAUCACAGUCAUGCAUAUUAGGUAAGAGCAUCCCCAGAAAACAGUGUUCAUGCUCAGUGUGAGUCUGGUCAUUACAUUUUUCAUAAAAAUUAUUUUUUUCCUCAGACUGGAACAGCGUUAACCGCACAGACAUGUCGGGUGCUCAGACUACGGAAGAUAAGAAGUCACUAAUUUUGGGGCUGGUCCUGGGAAUUGGUAUUCCCCUCCUGUUGCUGCUGUUGCUGGCGGCCCUCGCCUGCUUCUGCUGCUGCUCACGCAAGAAAACCAUCUCUGGGGAUAUUCCUCAUCUGCUGCCCGAGUACAUUCAGGAGCAAUUCAACCCUCCGUUCAACUUUGACGACCCCUCUCUGCACUACAUCACCCACGUCAGCCCGCGUAUCCUUGACAACCUCACACCUCAACAGAAGCGCCGGUACCGAUAACACAGGCCCUGUGCGGUUCAUGCAGCAUCAGUGCAGAUGUAUAUAUCUGUACAUUUGUGUGAUCUCAAUAUGAUAUUAUUUAUAUUAAAAAGAGACUGCUGACUUUUAGUCAUGUGUGAAAGUGAAAGAGCACCAGACAUGCAAAAGAAACAUGGCGCGAUCUGUGAGCAACAAGUUCUGCUGAAUUAUUGCCGCAGUUAUUUGAAGAUACUAACUCUUGUGAAGAAAAUAAUGUGCAUAUGUAUGCAUUACAGUAAUAAAAAUAGUGGUAAAAUAUGCUUUAAUGUUAUGAAAUAAUGUCAAAUACCACAAAAAAAAACACCUUAGUUUGGGGGUGAAAUAUGGCAUUCUUCAAGGAAUUUGAAAUAAUGGUCAAUAAGAUCUUACACAUAAGUGAAAUGUUUCUCUGGUCAGAAUUAUCCUCUUGAAAGCAAAGCAGCUGAAUGUAUGUACAGUAUGUUGUCUAUAAGCAAACAUAUGGCACCAUCAAACCCACUCAAACACUUUUUCUUAAAAUACUUAGCAAUGGUUAUGAUAUUUCUAUACCCACUACGUUUUUCCUCAAAUAAAAUAAAAUAAAAAUCAUCAAUGCCAUGGGAUCAGUUUGAAUUCAAAUCAAAUGCAUUUAUUCAUCUUUUAUAUUUAAGGUCUCUGAGACCCCAAACAAAAGUCAUAUGUUUCCUUGCAGGUUGUUUGAAGUGAGUUAUUGAGUUAUCUACUUGGUUCUUCAAUUUCAAGUAUGAUAUUUGAGCCUUUAAUAAAUCCUUGGGGUCUCUGAGUCCCCCAAAACAACAUGAUCUUCUCACUUUCAUGAGAGCAGAAAUAUCCUUUUACAUGUAAAUAUGUCAUUGUAUUGUAUAACUUGAGAGGUGUAACCUGGGUGGACGACUGUCACUUAGCUAUGUUCCAGCUUUGCAGGUUACCUGGAAACAACUGGCUUCUAUACACAACCCUUUUUUCCAUUCAGAUAAGACUUGUUGACAUCCAUUCUCUCUUAUUCCAUUUGUAGUGACAUUGUUUAAUGGCAUGAAGUAAUGUCAGCUGGGGAUCAAAAUUGAUGCCUAGUUGAAUCUGCAUUUGCCACACAGAAGCAGUAAACUCUUAAAAGAAAGAGCUAUUGGCUGCCCUUAUGGUCCUGCCAUUGGACUCUGCACUUUGCAUGUGUUUAUCUCCCAGCCAUAAAACAAUAAAGUUUAGGAUGUGAACUAAGCUCUUUCAUGCUCCGGUCUUAUCUCCCCUUUACGUCAUUUCUGCAAGCCCUUGACUUGCUUUUUGC